rnacentral:rRNA from 1 species
GACGAACGCUGGCGGCGUGCUUAACACAUGCAAGUCGAACGGAAAGGCCCUGCUUUUGUGGGGUGCUCGAGUGGCGAACGGGUGAGUAACACGUGAGUAACCUGCCCUUGACUUUGGUAUAACUUCAGGAAACUGGGGCUAAUACCGGAUAGGAGCUCCUGCUGCAUGGUGGGGGUUGGAAAGUUUCGGCGGUUGGGGAUGGACUCGCGGCUUAUCAGCUUGUUGGUGGGGUAGUGGCUUACCAAGGCUUUGACGGGUAGCCGGCCUGAGAGGGUGACCGGCCACAUUGGGACUGAGAUACGGCCCAGACUCCUACGGGAGGCAGCAGUGGGGAAUAUGGCACAAUGGGCGGAAGCCUGAUGCAGCAACGCCGCGUGCGGGAUGACGGCCUUCGGGUUGUAAACCGCUUUCGCCUGUGACGAAGCGUGAGUGACGGUAAUGGGUAAAGAAGCACCGGCUAACUACGUG